UACGAAGGGGCUAGCGUUGCUCGGAAUUAUUGGGCGUAAAGCGCACGUAGGCGGUUCGUUAAGUCGGAUGUGAAAGCCCUCGGCUCAACUGAGGAAGUGCACCCGAAACUGGCGAGCUUGAGUACGAAAGAGGAUCGCGGAAUUCCCGGUGUAGAGGUGAAAUUCGUAGAUAUCGGGAGGAACACCGGUGGCGAAGGCGGCGAUCUGGGUCGAUACUGACGCUGAGGUGCGAAAGCGUGGGGAGCAAACAGG
rnacentral:rRNA from 1 species